rnacentral:rRNA from 1 species
GGGAAUUCGAUUGUGCCAGCAGCCGCGGUAAUACGGAGGGAGCUAGCGUUGUUCGGAAUUACUGGGCGUAAAGCGUACGUAGGCGGUUAUUCAAGUCAGAGGUGAAAGCCCGGGGCUCAACCCCGGAACUGCCUUUGAAACUAGGUAGCUAGAGUCUUGGAGAGGUCAGUGGAAUUCCGAGUGUAGAGGUGAAAUUCGUAGAUACUCGGAAGAACACCAGUGGCGAAGGCGACUGACUGGACAAGUACUGACGCUGAGGUACGAAAGCGUGGGGAGCAAACAGGAUUAGAUACCCUGGUAGUCCACGCCGUAAACGAUGAUAACUAGCUGUCCGGGCACUUGGUGUUUGGGUGGCGCAGCUAACGCAUUAAGUUAUCCGCCUGGGGAGUACGGUCGCAAGAUAAAACUCAAGAA